GACAGGGUCUUGCUCUGUUGCCCAGGCAGAAGCACAGUGAUGUGAUCAUGGCUCACUGCAGCCUCAACCUCCUGAGCUCAAGUGAUCCUUCCAUCUCAGCCUCCCAAGUAACUGGGACCACAGGCAGAUGCCACCAUGCCCAGUGACUCCGUUCACAUGCUCCCGUCUUGUCAUCAAGCCCUGUUCAUCUCUCACCAUCUCUCACCUGGACCAUUGCCAGUUUCUGAGCUGCCUGCUCUUGAAUACCAGCUUCCUGAAAAUAUCACCAAAACGAUCUGGUCCUCAGACAAAGCAGAGUCUAUUGCUCACUGCAGUAACAGAGAGCUCCGUCUUCAGAGUCUUGGUAACAUUUCGCUGAGAGGACAACCCAAUCACACUGUUUAGGAGAUUUUGGAUUCUGACUAAGGUGCCUGGAGCAAAAAUGUGUCCAGAAUUGGUGGGUUGUUGGUCUCGCUGACCUCAAGAACGGAGCCGUGGACCCUCGCGGGACAAGGGGAGUCAGAGGCAGAAGAGAAGGUGUUGUGAUGACAGAAGCAGAGAUCUGAGUGACUCACUUUGAAGAUGGAGGAAGAGGUCACAGGCCAAGUGAUACAGAUGCCAGGAGAAGCUGAAAACAGGAGGAAAUGGAUUCUUCCCUCAGAGCUUCUGGAAAAGAUCAGUCUUGCUGAUAACUUGACUUUAGCCCACUGAAACUGAUUUUGAACUUUUGACUUCCAGAACUGUAAGAGAAUAAUUUUGUGUUAUUUCAGUUACUAAGUUAGUGGCAAUUUGUUAUAGCAGGAAUAGGAAAUUAAUACAGUGCUGAAGUAGAAGUUAUGUUGCAUUUAUAUAUUAGUUUCCUGAAAACUGACACUUUUAUAGUAUUUGUUUUCCCAUUCAAGAACAUAGUUUCCUUUCUUUUGUUCAGACUCUGUUUUACUUUUUUCAAUAAAAUUGUGUGUGUAUGUGUGUGUGUCCCCAUAUGGGAUUUGCUUUUUCUUGCUAUAUUUAUUCUGAAAUAUUUUAUGUUUUACCAUUGUUGUGAAGGAAAUAUUUUUCCAUGUUUCUACUUCUAUGUACUUAUUGUUAAGAUAUAGAAAAAGCUGACCGGGCACAGUGGCUCACACCUGUAAUCCCAGCACUUUGGGGGGCCGAGGCGAGGUUAGUUAGAGACCAGCCUGGCCAACAUGGUGAAACCCCAUCUCUACCAAAAAAUACAAAAAUUAGCUGGGCAUGGUGGCAUGUGCCUAUAGUCUCAACUACUUGGGAGGUUGAGGUGGGAGAAUUGCUUGAACCCAGGAGGCAGAGGUUGUAGUGAGCAGAGAUCAUGUCACUGUAC
rnacentral:lncRNA from 1 species